GCUGAUUUCAGUUCCCGCACGCCAGAAGUGCUGUUGAAAGAAGAUAACAGCAGUGGCAGCGGGUUUUCUGCUGCUGCUGGCAAAGGUUUGGCUUUGCGACCUAAAUCAGCUAGUCGAAUUCUCCUUGGACCAGAUGCUGAAGCAAGUUCCAUAAAUCCUAUCACUAUGCUGUUGAACGAUUCUUUUCUGAACGACAGUGCAAGUGUCAGGAAGUCAUCGAGUACACCGAGUUUGCAG
rnacentral:misc_RNA from 1 species